rnacentral:tRNA from 5 species
GCGGAUGUAGCCAAGUGGAUCAA